GAUAAAGACCUUGAACAACGUAGGAGAUUUUUGGAGAAUUGAAGAAGGUGGGCAAGUAGAGACCGCCUUGUUCAAUUACAUAACGAGCUACGGAAACACCAGCACAUCGGAGGUGAGGGUGGUUGUGAUCCCAGUACUCGAUCUGACCGGCCUCACUUUUGAUAGUUUCGGUGGCUUCAAGAACAUCUAGGUUAUCAAGGUUACACUCGUUCUGUAACUGAGGAGGAACCCGAAGAGAUUGCCUCGCAAAGCAGCCGUUAAGGACGAGGAGAACCCCGAAC